CAAGCCCGUCUGACUCUAGAAGCCCAGACCUGAUGUCUUUAAAGAGGAUGAUGGAGAAGCUUGGUGUCCCCAAGACCCACCUGGAGAUGAAGAAGAUGAUCUCAGAGGUGACAGGAGGGGUCAGUGACACUAUAUCCUACCGAGACUUUGUGAACAUGAUGCUGGGGAAACGGUCGGCUGUCCUCAAGUUAGUCAUGAUGUUUGAAGGAAAAGCCAACGAGAGCAGCCCCAAGCCAGUUGGCCCCCCUCCAGAGAGAGACAUUGCUAGCCUGCCCUGAGGACCCCGCCUGGACUCCCCAGCCUUCCCACCCCAUACCUCCCUCCCGAUCUUGCUGCCCUUCUUGACACACUGUGAUCUCUCUCUCUCUCAUUUGUUUGGUCAUUGAGGGUUUGUUUGUGUUUUCAUCAAUGUCUUUGUAAAGCACAAAUUAUCUGCCUUAAAGGGGCUCUGGGUCGGGGAAUCCUGAGCCUUGGGUCCCCUCCCUCUCUUCUUCCCUCCUUCCCCGCUCCCUGUGCAGAAGGGCUGACAUCAAACCAAAAACUAGAGGGGGCAGGGCCAGGGCAGGGAGGCUUCCAGCCUGUGUUCCCCUCACUUGGAGGAACCAGCACUCUCCAUCCUUUCAGAAAGUCUCCAAGCCAAGUUCAGGCUCACUGACCUGGCUCUGACGAGGACCCCAGGCCACUCUGAGAAGACCUUGGAGUAGGGACAAGGCUGCAGGGCCUCUUUCGGGUUUCCUUGGACAGUGCCAUGGCUCCAGUGCUCUGGUGUCACCCAGGACACAGCCACUCGGGGCCCCGCUGCCCCAGCUGAUCCCCACUCAUUCCACACCUCUUCUCAUCCUCAGUGAUGUGAAGGUGGGAAGGAAAGGAGCUUGGCAUUGGGAGCCCUUCAAGAAGGUACCAGAAGGAACCCUCCAGUCCUGCUCUCUGGCCACACCUGUGCAGGCAGCUGAGAGGCAGCGUGCAGCCCUACUGUCCCUUACUGGGGCAGCAGAGGGCUUCGGAGGCAGAAGUGAGGCCUGGGGUUUUGGGGGAAAGGUCAGCUCAGUGCUGUUCCACCUUUUAGGGAGGUUACUGAGGGGACCAGGAUGGGAGAAUGAGGAGUAAAAUGCUCACGGCAAAGUCAGCAGCACUGGUAAGCCAAGACUGAGAAAUACAAGGUUGCUUGUCUGACCCCAAUCUGCUUGAAACCUGACUCUGCUUCUCUCAUUUGUCUUCCUACCCUACUCACAUAAUUCACUCAUUGACUCACUCAUUCACCAGAUAUUUAUUGACCUGCUAUUAUAAGCUUUACAUCCUCCCAUGUUGUCCUGGCAUGUGCAGUAUACACGGUCUAACUCAUCUCUCCCCAGAUCUCUCAGAACCUUGAGCUUGGGAAUUGAACUGGGGUCACCUGUGUCCUUUCUUAUGGACUCGCAGGAUUUUAGAACCCUAAUGCACCCUGGAGGGUAGCUGGGCCAGACUUCUCAUUUCACAGGUGAGGAGACUGGUGCCCCACAGGGAUUAAGUGCCUUGCCCAAGGUCAGGCUUAUCUCCAGAGGGAGGUGCCCUGGACUGGGGCCCAGAUGUUCAGGGACCCUGCCUACACCUCAUUUCCAGUGUGGGCUGCCUUAGUUAGUUAUGAGAACAGGGAAGGGCUGGGAAGAGACAGCCUCCAAGGUCAACACUUGGAGAGGGUUUCACUUGCUCUGAAGACCCUGGUCCAGGAUUCGCCCUCUCCCAUGCCUUCAAGUCAGCAUCAGGCUUAGGGCAAAGACCAGGCCUCUGAAGCUGCCUCUUGUAAUUCAUGCAGGAAGAUGUCAAAGUCAGCCCCAUCUUGGCUGAUCAGGGUGUUCAGCCUUAACCCCACCUGUGUUCUGAAGUCUCUUACCCUACCUGCUCAGGACUGAGACAGUUAUUCACUGAACAUAUUUAUUAAGCACUUGCUGUAGGCCAACAGUUAAGAAUCCAAUAAUGAAAUGGACAGAUUCAUGGAACUUAGAGUCCAAUAGGAAAGUGAGACCCAGACAAUGACAAUGAGAUAAAUGUUAGGAAGGGGGAGGUAUGGGGUGACUUCCCUGCAGUCCUGGGGGCCUAGAUGGGCCCAAGACUGGGUGAGAGUCUUGGCAGAGCCUUUGCAACACCUUAAGUGGACAGGACUGGGAGGUCUUGGUGGUUGGAGCCAACGUGGGUUCCCUGCGGCUCCUUAGUCACCUCUGAUAGCAGAUUGAGGGAGGAAAACAGGUAAGGCAUGAGGAAAUGGCCAGGUUGGGUUAACCCACUGGUUUCAACCAGUUCAGGAAUGAGGUUAUUUGGCCAUGACUGGCUGAUCUUGAGCUCAAGGAUCUGCUUCAAAUGCACACAGGCCUAGUUGAAGUUUAAACCCCAGCAAAACAUUCCUCCCUGUAAAUGGAAAAUCCUACUUCUACCCCCACCCUGCCCUGUUUUUUGUUUUUUUUUUCCCCAAGAUCAUUAGAUGUCCUCACCCCUCCUCACUGCCUCUCCUCUCUGGGACAGGCUGGGACCUUUGAGGAAGAUAAAGCCUUCCUUCACUACCCAUCAUAUUCAGUGUCCCUGUUCCUCACUCAGAGAGGAAGGCAGAACCAGUCAGGCUUAUUUCAGUAAGUUCCACAGUUCUACAAGACUGCAGGAAUUCUCCUUAAGGGAGGAGAGCAAGCAGGUGUGGCCCCAGCUUCUGGAAAUGGCAGAAGAGAGGGUUUUCUCAUUGAAUGGGGGUGGGGGCUCGUGUGUCCUGGGAAACCCCAUCAGUCCCUUCAUUUCUUGAGACUCAACUCCUGGGAGGAGAGGGUCUCAAGAGUUGUCCCUGGAAGGAGGGCGGGGGCAGUCUGCAUCUAUUUCAGGUUGUGGCUCUUGGUUCUAGGACUCUUACUUCUCUGGCUAAGGGCUCAGCUUCUUGGGACUUCAACCAUCUUCUUUCUGAAAGACCAAAUCUAAUGUAACCAGUAACGUGAGGACUGCCAAGUAUGGCUUUGUCCCUAUGACUCAGAGGAGGGUUUGUCGGGCAAAUUCAGGUGGAUGAAGUAUGUGUGUGCGUGUGCAUGGGAGUGUGCGUGGA
rnacentral:lncRNA from 10 species